GAGAGUUGACUUUUGGGUGAAUUUCCACCACUUAUUUCACCUUCUCUUGGAAGCUAAAGGAAAUCAGAUUUCUCUCCAUCUUCUCACUCCUCAUAGCCGACCAAACACCCUCCUCUCUCUAACUCCAUUACUUCAAAAUUUCUGCUCACUAAUCUCACUCAAAACCACCCCAAAUCAUCUCCAAAUUCAACCAAACUUGCACCACACCUAGCUUGACACUUGAGGAGCAUUUUGAGCUGCAAACAAGGGCUGGAAAUCACGGUUUUUCUGGGGUAAUAGAGGGCCGAAAAUUCUGCUGAACAUCAACCCAAAGUGCUCAAGCGAGUUUUGAAAAGAAUCCCGGAGGGGACAACUAAGGAUUUUCUCGCUCAAUUACUUUUGAAUUGGAAUGGAUGGAGUGAAACUCGUUGGAACCCU